rnacentral:rRNA from 1 species
GUGUCAGCAGCCGCGGUAAUACGUAGGGGGCUAGCGUUGUCCGGAUUUAUUGGGCGUAAAGCGCGUGUAGGCGGCCAGAUAGGUCUGCUGUGAAAACUCGAGGCUCAACCUCGAGCUGUCGGCGGAAACCAUCCGGCUAGAGUCCGGAAGAGGAGAGUGGAAUUCCCGGUGUAGCGGUGAAAUGCGCAGAUAUCGGGAAGAACACCUGUGGCGAAGGCGGCUCUCUGGGACGGUACUGACGCUGAGACGCGAAAGCGUGGGGAGCAAACAGGAUUAGAUACCCGUGUAGUCC